rnacentral:rRNA from 1 species
AAGUCCCGUAACGAGCGCAACCCUUGUCCUUAGUUGCCAUCAUUUAGUUGGGGACUCUAAGGAGACUGACCGGUGACAAACCGGAGGAAGGCGGGGACGACGUCAAGUCAUCAUGGCCCUUACGUGUAGGGCUACACACGUGCUACAAUGGCAUUUACAGAGGGAAGCGAGACAGUGAUGUGGAGCGGACCCCUUAAAGAAUGUCGUAGUCCGGAUUGGAGUCUGCAACUCGACUCCAUGAAGUCGGAAUCGCUAGUAAUCGUAGAUCAGAAUGCUACGGUGAAUACGUUCCCGGGCCUU